rnacentral:rRNA from 1 species
UGAGAGGGCGACCGGCCACACUGGGACUGAGACACGGCCCAGACUCCUACGGGAGGCAGCAGUGGGGAAUAUUGCGCAAUGGGCGAAAGCCUGACGCAGCGACGCCGCGUGGGGGAUGACGGCCUUCGGGUUGUAAACCUCUUUCAGCAGGGACGAAGUUGACGUGUACCUGCAGAAGAAGCGCCGGCUAACUACGUGCCAGCAGCCGCGGUAAUACGUAGGGCGCAAGCGUUGUCCGGAAUUAUUGGGCGUAAAGAGCUCGUAGGUGGCUUGUCACGUCGGGUGUGAAAGCUUGGGGCUUAACUCCAGGUCUGCAUUCGAUACGGGCUGGCUAGAGGUAGGUAGGGGAGAACGGAAUUCCUGGUGUAGCGGUGAAAUGCGCAGAUAUCAGGAGGAACACCGGUGGCGAAGGCGGUUCUCUGGGCCUUACCUGACGCUGAGGAGCGAAAGCGUGGGGAGCGAACAGGAUUAGAUACCCUGGUAGUCCACGCUGUAAACGUUGGGCGCUAGGUGUGGGGACCUUCCACGGUUUCCGCGCCGUAGCUAACGCAUUAAGCGCCCCGCCU